rnacentral:lncRNA from 1 species
AACAGCGCAAGCCCUUUACAUGCAGUGGAGCCGCCGUAUCUCGCCGUUCAAGAUAUGCGUACUCGUAAGUGGCAUUUUAAUUUCACGUUGUGUAAUGCAUGACUGUCUUUUUCAAGUGAACAAAGGUCGCUUUGUAUUGUGUAAAUGGUUUUGCAACGUAUGAUAAACUCCUUGUCUUUCGGGCUUAUUUUUUCUGACAGGAAGAAAAAAAAAAAGAGGCUUUACAUGAGAACGGAUCAAGCGUUCGAGAGUUGGGACAGGGAAAUGAAACACUGGAACGACACUGCUUAAAUUGAAGCACAGUGUGCGAAUGACCUGCUACGCUCGGAACUGUUAUCACCAUUCGGGAAGAAAUUGGAUGAAAAAACAUAACUGUAAAUACCUGUAUGAUAUACGUCUGGUGCAUUGCAGGUAAGAAUGGAUUGUGUGUGGCGCGCUUCACCGCAUGUGGACUACAGUAGAUCUAGGAACAUCAGACAAGAAGACACGUAUGUGAAACCCUGCGGAUAGCCCAUAUGUGAACUUUUUUUCCAGAUACGGAGGAACGGACACCGGUCGUGCCGUGAGCACUAUUCUGCAGGGCAUACUUACAAAUGAAGCUGCACUGCAGUUCAGCUGGAAAGGGUCGCAGGGGAGGAAGCACGCCUUCGUGAAGCUCAUGGCCAUCACGAAUAUAACAUCUGUGAGGAGCACGUUCCCUGACGCUUCACUAGCAUCAGUGGCUGGAGUCGCAAAACGCUGGUUGGUUGGAGCAGCUGACAGGGAUGGAGGCCGGAAUGAAAGAAGGCGCCGUGACCCUGCUUCAAGCCCACCAAAUAUGAACUAGUGUUUGAAACUUGUGAACGUGUCGG